rnacentral:tRNA from 1 species
AGCCCCGUGGUGUAAUGGUAGCACAACGGUUUUUGGUACCGUUAGUUUAGGUUCGAACCCUGGCGGGGCUGCCA